rnacentral:lncRNA from 1 species
GUCUUGAAACAUACCCCCAAGGAUGAAGAGGGACUAUGUUAUUCCUCGAAGCUGUGAGUUGCUAGCUCUGCCAUUUACAUUGGUAGUCACUCAGGAUAUUUUAUACUCACCUGAAGCAGACAACAACUUUGAAUUUAAAUGGUAAGUGAGUGUUUAAGUGGUAAGACAAUCUAAGCAAAACCCAAAGCCCCAGCAAAAUCUAAGCAAAUCUCAGCAUUGUUCAGAGUCAUUUUCCUACUCACAUGGUAGGUCUGGGUGCUUCAUGAGGGAGAAGGAUGAAGAGAGGAGGAGAGAACCAAAAGGAACAUGUGGA